CCUGAACGCUGGCGGCGUGGCUAAGACAUGCAAGUCGUACGGUGUAGCAAUACACAGUGGCGAACGGGUGAGUAAAGAAUCGCUAACGUGCCCCGGACGUCUGGGAGUAGCUAUACCGAAAGGGGUAAGGGUAAUAACCAGAUGACAUAUCCUCGCUCGCAUGAGCAGGAUCUCAAAGGUCCGCCGGUCGUGGGAGGCGGGCGGAUUUCGUAUCAGCUAGUUGGUGAGGUAACGGCUCACCAAGGCGACGACGCGUAGCCGGACUGAGAGGGUUGGGCCGGCCACAUUGGGACGUGAGACACUGCCCA
rnacentral:rRNA from 1 species